GGAAGGAGUUACUGUGACAGCUCCGUGCUGGCGAGCCGAUCCACGUCCACCUCACUCCAGCGAAAACAUAACAUCGAUUCAAAAGGACAUGACAGGACAAGAUGAAGACACCGAACGCUCUGUGGGGUCCAUAGAAGGGUCAUGGGAAGCCCGGCCGGGGCACGUCGUCAACGACACGGAAGUGGUCUUGAAGCCCUCAAUUUCUGCGAAAUUUCAGCGGGCGGUUUGGUGCGUUCCUUACUUAUAUCAACUCAUCUGGAUGUCGGCCCUGGUUUGUCUGAUGGCUCCGUUUUUCCCGUCGCUUGCCACUUCAAGAGGCGUCAAAAUCUGGGAGUACGGCAUGGUGUUGUCGGCCUUCAAGCUAGCCAUUCUACCGGGAAGUUUGCUUGGUGAAAAAUUUAUUACAGGAACGUCACCCAGAGCGGCGUAUGUGACUUCUGUGACAAGCAUGAGCGUGUUCUGCCUCUUAUUUGGGGCUUGCUCGAAGCGGCGUCAGGAUUAGGAAACAUUUGCGGUCAGCUCGCUGGCGGUGUCGUCACUGAUUUGUGGAAAUUACCAACGUCCUACUACGCGUGCGGUAUAGGUCUCCUCUUAGCACUGCCAUUUAUAACGGAACCGCAUGAAGUCACUGAACGGAACAAUGUCGAAUCCCCUGCCUCAUCUAUUGACAGCAGCGACCAAGGGCGUCACGAAGUUCAAUUCAACGAAUGAAAACGUAGGAGCCGUAUUUACCUGUAAUUCAGGUGGGUAUUCUCUAGCGUCCUUGCUUGCAGGAUUCUUGGCAUCACACGAGGUAAGCCCACUUCUAAUUUUAAGCAAUUACUUUUUUCUUAAUAAUUAUGUCCACACUGCUAGUGCUUCGUUGCCAUUAAACAUAUUUAAGAAAAAGUAAAAAUAAAUAUAUCUCAUAAAAAGAAGACGUCGUUCAUUGUCCAGGUAGUUUUACUGCCUAAAUAUUC
rnacentral:misc_RNA from 1 species